CCACCCAGGCGCACCGAGCAUCUGAUUGCCCCCGCGUUGCCCUGUUUUUCCCUCACGGUUUUGUUCCGCGUCAGCCCCAUCCCCACCCGGCCACCCCACGACCCACCGAAGCGGUUUCUCCUCCCAGCUCGUGGUUAGUUUUCCCGACGCUGCUCCACCGGCCUGCUCGCGAUCUGUCCGCCCUUCCUCCCGGCGAUGACCCCGGGACUGGCACCGCCGGUGAAUCCCUGCGUACCCCCGCGGUCAAGGCGAUGCCCUCCCGUUCCCGUCGCUGCUCACUCCUCCCAUCGCCGGUUUUCCCGACGCCACUCCGCCGCCCAGCUCACGGUACGUCUGCUGUUCCUCCCAUCGCCGAUCCGGGGACUGGCGACGCCGGCCAGCUCCUGCAUGUCCCCGCAGCCAAGGCAAUGCCCUCUCUUUCCGACGCGGCUCACUCCUCCCGUUGUUGUUCCGUGAGACCGCUCAAUUCUCUGCAUCGGCGGCGACGGCAACAGAAGCGUUGGACGGACAGUAGGGAUCCAAUCUUCUCCGCGACAGCUUGAUAUUCCUCCCGUGUAGAUGCUCCAGCGAGUCAUGUGCCCCAUCGAGCUCCUCGCCCUGCGCAAGUUGCUCCUUGAUCUACCUCACCCUGAAUCCCCAAGGUGCGCAGAUCGAUCCAAGUAUGCCCUGCGAGCAUGUUUUCCAUUCUAAUUUCCUCUUUGCGAGCAGAUAAAAGAUUCUUGGAGAGGAGUAUCUUAACUAGUUCUAGUUUAUUUGGACCAUGGCGGAUGUGAUUUCUGGAUGGAUAUUGGUUGAGAUUUUUUUUUUCAAUCGGCUGCUGUUUUACUCCCUGCUUGGUGCGAUGGGGCCACCGCUGCCUGCUGGGAUGACUGGAUCUACCCUGGUGCCAACGACUAUUCGACAAUAUGCUGAAUGCCAAGACCUCCUUGCGAAACUGUCAGGUGAUGCUUGCCAGUGCUGGUUCAGUCUCGUUCCCCAUUGUCAUCAGUUUGUACUUCAGCUCCUGCAUAUUUUGUUCUGGCUCCUGCAUGAGAUGGGUCCAGGAAACUUCAGUCUUCUCUGCAUUUAUGUUUUUUGUUAAUAGUUCAAGUUAUGCAGUAAAGGUUAGAUCAGGGUGCCAAUUACAUGAUUUUCUUACAGAAAUACCUUUUGUUUCCUGAAAUCCUAUCAGUAUGUCUUCUUAGAUCGCACUGCACCUAUUAAACUUUGGGCAUAAUAUGCAGUAUCGAUCAAUCUAUACUUAUCUAUAUAUAGGUGUUGAUCGUUCAGAUUUGUGGUUUCUGAUUGUUACACUUUAUGGCAUGCUUAGUAGAACUUCUUGUGUGACAAAGAGGUGCUCAUAUGCUCAUAAAUCUUAUAUCUAAUGAACAUUGUUGUCCAUAUGCAUGCUUAUGUAUUCUCAACGGGUAUUAUAUUUGGACAACCUAUAUCAGACACUCUCCCAGAUGAUUGGAUUUCCACACUCCGUGUGAGAUUCUAUCAUAAGUCCCUGAUUGAGUGGCUAACAAAUGCGGACCGAAUUAGGUGCAGGGAUUGAACCGAUGCGUACAGUUUCCUACCAUUUAAGCUGGGCAAGCACUUAUCUCGCUGCAGCUGGCAGUGCACUGGAUGAAUUUUGCACAUGGACAUGAAGUGCAUCAGAGAAGUAUUAUCUACGGAUGUGGUGAGCGGGGGUAAGAAUGUGAAAAGCCAUCAAGGAGGUUGCCAAGUGAAAUGACAUGGCAUCUGCAAAGUCGUUCACAUAUCACAAAUCUGCUGGAGAGGGAUCACAUCUGAAAAUGAAUUGUUUUGUGCAGCAAGUUGGACACCAUGACUGCUUGCUAUAAAUUGCUCAUGCUGGAGUUGCUUGCUUGAUGGAGAUGGCGCGUGCACAGACUUUUUUUAGGGAGAAUAGAGCUUCGUGCACAGAUAUUCGUUUGCCAAUCUCAAACAAUCCUUUUCUGUACAUAAAUCAAUCAGCCGUAUGAGGGGCACCAGAACAUGGAGUACAAACGACGGAAUUAGUUUGCUUUGGAUCAUAAAUACUGAAUUUCACAACAUCGAUGAAUGACUGGAGCAUGUGCAUGCGAUAUUUGUGUUUUGGUGACUUUUUUUAAGAAAAAGGAAGAACGUUGGUAGCUA